rnacentral:rRNA from 1 species
AUCAACUUUCGAUGGUAGGAUAGAGGCCUACCAUGGUGGUAACGGGUAACGGGGUGUUAGGGCACGACACCGGAGAGGGAGCCUGAGAAACGGCUACCACAUUCAAGGAUGGCAGCAGGCGCGCAAAUUACCCAAUCCCGACACGGGGAGGUAGUGACAAUAAAUAACAAUACGGGGUUCUUUCGGAUCUCGUAAUUGGAAUGAGUACAAUUUAAAUCUCUUAACGAGGAACAAUUGGAGGGCAAGUCUGGUGCCAGCAGCCGCGGUAAUUCCAGCUCCAAUAGCGUAUAUUAAAGUUGUUGCAGUUAAAAAGCUCGUAGUUGAAUUUCGGGGUUAGUAGGUUGGUCAUGCCUCUGGUAUGUACUGGUCUCACUGAUUCCUCCUUCCUGAUGAACCGUAAUGCCAUUAAUUUGGUGUUGCGGGGAAUUUGGACUGUUACUUUGAAAAAAUUAGAGUGUUUAAAGCAAGCUAACGCUUGAAUACAUUAGCAUGGAAUAAUGAAAUAGGACGUUCGAUCCUAUUUUGUUGGUUUCUAGGAUUGACGUAAUGAUUAAUAGGGAUAGUUGGGGGCAUUAGUAUUCAAUUGUCAGAGGUGAAAUUCUUGGAUUUAUUGAAGACUAACUACUGCGAAAGCAUUUGCCAAGGGUGUUUUCAUUAAUCAAGAACGAAAGUUAGGGGAUCGAAGACGAUCAGAUACCGUCGUAGUCUUAACCAUAAACUAUGCCGACUAGGGAUCGGAUGAUGUUAAUUUUUUAAUGACUCAUUCGGCGCCUUACGGGAAACCAAAGUGUUUGGGUUC